AAUUCUCAACCGAUCCUUGGAUCGGCUUGGACUUGGGAGCUUGUUGGAUCCGCUCGGCUCUCCUGAAAUGCAUUGCAUUAAGCUAACGUGCAUGGCCUCUGACAUGAUAAUGAUCGUUGUAGCUGGAGCGUGGCUUGAUCAUCAGAUUGGCUUUAGCUACUAGUUUGUUUGUAACCCGAACAAACAAACGCAAGUCUAACCUAAUG
rnacentral:misc_RNA from 1 species